UCUUGGUCCAUUAGAGGAAGUAAAAGUCGUAACAAGGUUUCCGUAGGUGAACCUGCGGAAGGAUCAUUACAGUAUUCUUUUGCCAGCGCUUAACUGCGCGGCGAAAAACCUUACACACAGUGUCUUUUUGAUACAGAACUCUUGCUUUGGUUUGGCCUAGAGAUAGGUUGGGCCAGAGGUUUAACAAAACACAAUUUAAUUAUUUUUACAGUUAGUCAAAUUUUGAAUUAAUCUUCAAAACUUUCAACAACGGAUCUCUUGGUUCUCGCAUCGAUGAAGAACGCAGCGAAAUGCGAUAAGUAAUAUGAAUUGCAGAUUUUCGUGAAUCAUCGAAUCUUUGAACGCACAUUGCGCCCUCUGGUAUUCCAGAGGGCAUGCCUGUUUGAGCGUCAUUUCUCUCUCAAACCCCCGGGUUUGGUAUUGAGUGAUACUCUUAGUCGGACUAGGCGUUUGCUUGAAAAGUAUUGGCAUGGGUAGUACUAGAUAGUGCUGUCGACCUCUCAAUGUAUUAGGUUUAUCCAACUCGUUGAAUGGUGUGGCGGGAUAUUUCUGGUAUUGUUGGCCCGGCCUUACAACAACCAAACAAGUUUGACCUC
rnacentral:rRNA from 1 species